rnacentral:rRNA from 1 species
CCUACGGGUGGCAGCAGUGGGGAAUAUUGGACAAUGGGCGAAAGCCUGAUCCAGCCAUGCCGCGUGUGUGAAGAAGGCCUUCGGGUUGUAAAGCACUUUCAGUGGGGAAGAAAGCCUUGGGGCUAAUGCCCUCGAGGAAGGACAUCACCCACAGAAGAAGCACCGGCUAACUCCGUGCCAGCAGCCGCGGUAAUACGGAGGGUGCGAGCGUUAAUCGGAAUUACUGGGCGUAAAGCGCGCGUAGGCGGUCUGAUAAGCCGGUUGUGAAAGCCCCGGGCUCAACCUGGGAACGGCAUCCGGAACUGUCAGGCUAGAGUGCAGGAGAGGAAGGUAGAAUUCCCGGUGUAGCGGUGAAAUGCGUAGAGAUCGGGAGGAAUACCAGUGGCGAAGGCGGCCUUCUGGACUGACACUGACGCUGAGGUGCGAAAGCGUGGGUAGCAAACAGGAUUAGAUACCCAGUAGUC